UGAAUCUGCAGAUUGCUUUCGACAAG
rnacentral:misc_RNA from 1 species